UACGUAGGGUGCGAGCGUUAAUCGGAAUUACUGGGCGUAAAGCGUGCGUAGACGGUUUCGUAAGUCGGGUGUGAAAUCCCCGGGCUCAACCUGGGAAUUGCAUUCGAAACUGCGAGGCUAGGGUACGGAAGAGGGAAGCGGAAUUUCUGGUGUAGCGGUGAAAUGCGUAGAUAUCAGAAGGAACAUCAGUGGCGAAAGCGGCUUCCAGGUCCAGUACCGACGUUCAGGCACGAAAGCGUGGGGAGCAAACAGG
rnacentral:rRNA from 1 species